GUUCCUGGGACCACAAUUUGAGAACCUCUGCAUUAGAUUUAAUACUGAAAAUCAUUUUCAGAUAAUGAGAUUUGACCUGAUUGGUUCUGCCUGUUCUGUGUGUUUUUCUGAAUGAGCUGUUGCUGCCGUUGACAACGCCCUCCCAAACUUUUGUUUACAUUAGCCACGCCCUCCCAGCACAGCGCUUAUGUUAGCACUUCAGAUGUGUGAAAAUGGCUACUAGUACCAGCAGAUGCACAAUGGUACAACCGUAGACAGGCUGUACACGAUGCGGCCGCCCCGUCUCCACGCUGCAGCCUCCUCCAGCGCAGUUUCCCUCCUGACAAUGACGACAGGCCGUGCGCCAUGCGGCCACACUGGGCCAGGGCUUGGUAACAACAGACUUGUGCCUGAGGAGGCCAAUGUGUGUCCGUCGCUGCUUCCUGGGGCCAACGUUGUGGAGGGGGGAAGACGGUCCAUGCACAAAGCUAAUCACUUUUUAAGUGAUGACAUCAAAACCCGGAAAACAAAGGCUGUAUCUGUGUCCUUCCCAGUCGAGGAUAUCCCAGGAUUUGUUGCAUCAUCAGCAAACUAAACAGAAAAACGACGAUGGCGGAGUUUGGAACUUAAUCACAGACUGAAGAAUAUAUUUUCUUAAAUGUGUUUAACAGUUUAGCUGAUAUGUCGCAAUGAGAUGGUAAAUAAAAUGCAAUUACAAGUA